CUACACCAUUAGGUGUAGUGGUAGGAGAGCGUUCUAAGGGCGUUGAAGGUCGAUCGUGAGGACGGCUGGAGCGCUUAGAAGUGAGAAUGCCGGUAUGAGUAGCGAAAGACAGGUGAGAAUCCUGUCCACCGUAUGACUAAGGUUUCCUGGGGAAGGCUCGUCCGCCCAGGGUUAGUCGGGACCUAAGCCGAGGCCGAUAGGCGUAGGCGAUGGACAACAGGUUGAUAUUCCUGUACCAGUUGUUUUUGUUUGAGCAAUGGAGGGACGCAGUAGGCUAAGGAAUGCAUGCGAUUGGAAGUGCAUGUCCAAGCAAUGAGUCUUGAGUAGAGUUAAAUGCUUUACUCUUUAAGGACAAGUUGUGACGGGGAGCGAAAUAAUAGUAGCGAAGUUCCUGAUGUCACACUGCCAAGAAAAGCUUCUAGUGAGAAAGCAACUGCCCGUACCGUAAACCGACACAGGUAGUCGAGGAGAGUAUCCUAAGGUGAGCGAGCGAACUCUCGUUAAGGAACUCGGCAAAAUGACCCCGUAACUUCGGGAGAAGGGGUGCUGACUUCGGUCAGCCGCAGUGAAUAGGCCCAAGCGACUGUUUAUCAAAAACACAGGUCUCUGCAAAAUCGUAAGAUGAAGUAUAGGGGCUGACGCCUGCCCGGUGCUGGAAGGUUAAGAGGAUGGGUUAGCUUCGGCGAAGCUCA
rnacentral:rRNA from 1 species